rnacentral:rRNA from 1 species
GACAGAGGAUGCAAGCGUUAUCCGGAAUGAUUGGGCGUAAAGCGUCUGUAGGUGGCUUUUUAAGUCUGCCGUCAAAUCCCAGGGCUUAACCCUGGACAGGCGGUGGAAACUACCAAGCUGGAGUACGGUAGGGGCAGGGGGAAUUUCCGGUGGAGCGGUGAAAUGCGUAGAGAUCGGAAAGAACACCAGCGGCGAAAGCACUCUGCUGGGCCGACACUGACACUGAGAGACGAAAGCUAGGGGAGCAAAUGGG